rnacentral:ncRNA from 1 species
AUUUUCAUGGUGCAAUAUAUUUUAUUGCUUAAUAGGGAAGCUUGGUGUAAAUCCAACACGGUCCCGCCACUGUAAGAGGGAGUAUAUCAUUGGAUGCCACUGUUAUUUAUUAAUGGGAAGGUAAUGAUAUUUCUAUGAUCUCAAGUCAGGAUACCUGCCAUAAAAACUUG